GGGCGUGCCCCGCGCGCAGAGUCGACCCUCCACCCGUGUUGACUUAUCUCGUGUUGCUUUGGCGGGCCGGGCUUCGCGUCCGCCGGCCCUGCGGCUGGAGCGUGUCCGCCAAAGACCCAACCUAACUCGUGGUAUCGUGUCGUCUGAGGAAAGAAUAUUGAAUCAUUAAAACUUUCAACAACGGAUCUCUUGGCUCUGGCAUCGAUGAAGAACGCAGCGAAAUGCGAUAAGUAAUGUGAAUUGCAGAAUUUAGUGAAUCAUCGAAUCUUUGAACGCACAUUGCGCCCCUUGGCAUUCCGAGGGGCAUGCCUGUUCGAGCGUCGUCACACUCCCUCACGCCGCACCGUGUGUGUGGCGUGGUGUUGGGGCUCGCCUGUUCGGCGGCCCUUAAAACGAGUGGCGGUGCCGUCGUGGACUCUACGCGUAGUACUUUUUCUCGCGACAGGGCGGCGGCGGUGACUGGCCAGCAAGUCCAUUUUUCUGGAAGACCUCGAAUCAGGUAGGGAUACCCGCUGAACUUAAGCAUAUCA
rnacentral:rRNA from 1 species